rnacentral:lncRNA from 1 species
AUCCUCCCACUUCAGUCUUCCAAACUGCUGGGAUUAUAGGCAUGAGACACUGCUGGAGAAGGAAAGUUUAUUUUCAGCCAAAAAUUGGCUUCUUGAUCAUAAUUCAUGAAAUAUCUUCCCUUAUCUCUGGGGGAUAUUGAUGUUGCUGUGGCCGUUACUGAUAAUUAUUUCUUUGGCUUUCUAGAUUUCCUCUCUUGAGGUCUCCAGUAUCUAAGGCUUUUGUCCCAUGCCCGGUGUCUUAGUCUGUUUGUGUUACUGUAAAGGAACCCCUGAAGCUGAGUAGUUUUUAAAGAAAAGGGUUCUGUUUGGCUUAUGGUUUUGCAGCCUGCAGAAGAAGCACGGUGCCGACAUCUCCACCUGGUGAGGGCCUUAGACUGCUUCCACUCAUGGCAGAAGUCCAAGAGGAGCAGACAUCACAUGGCAAGAGAGGGGUGGGAGGGGCCAAGCUCUUUGAACAACCAGUUCUUGCAGGAACUCAUAGAGUAAGAAUUCACUCAUUACUAUGAGCAUGGCACCAAGUCAUUCAUGAGGGAUUCACCCCCACGACUCAAACACCUCACAUCAGGCCCCACUUCCAACCUUGGGGAUUAAAUUUCAACAUGCAACUUGGAGGGGACAAAUAUCCAAACUAUAUCACCUGGUGAUCUUUGUAGUCUCUUCCUUGGCUGUUGGAAGCUUUGUGUGUGAGGGCAGGGCUUGUCAAUUUUUGGACUUCACUGUAGGAUAAUCCAGAAGGCCCCUGGCGGUUUCAUUGGAGGAACCACACAUCAAUGUCUGUAGUGUUUGUCUCUUUGGUUGAGUCCUUUCUACAGGGAAGAAUCCUUAAUUCUUCUGCUUAGUGUAAGCUGGGGUAGGGUGGGUGGAGAGGGGUAGAGCUAGGCUGUUUGUGUUCUGGGAGCUGAGCCAGUAAAAUGGGCUGGGGAAUCUCAUCUUUCAGUAUGGAGUCUUUCUCUAAUCUCGCUAUUUCCAGCUCCAUGCCUAACCCCACCCUCUGCUGUGUCUGAUGUCCCAGAGCCUGGUGUGUCUUUGUUAAGUUUCUCCAGAAAAUAAACUUUCCUUCUCCAGCUGGAGUAGCUGUAGAGGCCAAGGGUCUUCUGCUAUGUUUACCCCCACCUGUUCCUCCAACUCCUGAGGCUUCCCAUCAUGAGCACUCAGACUCCAGCAGUCUUGGGUUUGCUAAGUCACUUAUUACUCAUCCAUCCACUUUCCAUCUUCCAAGAGUGUUGACAUUCCUUAACUGUUGUUAUCUCUGUUGUUCCCAUGUUCCCAGUCUUUUUGUCCUUGUGGCUUAUGGCAUAUAAAUUCUUCUACUGUCAUCAAAGCAUUUUGUCAGGAUGCAGAAAUUAAUGUCUGUUCAGAGUGCCAAGUUUAACCCUAGAUAGCUAUUUCUGAGUGGCUUGUCAGGCUUGAAAGGAGAGGAAGCUUAUAGUAGUGAUAUCUUCUACUUACCCCCAAGUUACUGAAGAGUCAAGAGCAUGGAAACAAGACUUUUUAUUGCAUGGUUUUAUUCGAAGAAAAGGAGGGGAAAUAUUCCAUUUGUUCGUCCAUUUAAAAAAAUACUUACUGAGCACUAAUACAUCUCUGGAAUUGUGCUAGGCGCUGGGAAUACAAAGCCUCACUAAUAUGUGGUGUCUGCUUUCAAGGAGUUUGAAGUCAAGCACAAGGAAAGUUGGCAACUUCCGACUCUGAUGAACUCACACAAACCCCAAAGAGAAACACUGGCUCUGAAGGAAACACUUCAAUUGUGUCCCUCUGAUACUGGAUUUCCUGCUCAGAAGUUGGUUGGUUUCUGGGAGGAGUCAGAAGACCUGAUUUGGGACUGAAACCAGCUGGUCUGCCACCUGAUACAAGAAGGUGAAACCCAGGCCAAGGAAGAAGUCCCUUAUGCUAGGACCGAGCUGGCAGCCAGAAGGCGCCUGCAGAGACAGCUCCAAAGAGAAGCCAGAGUGGGCCAGUUCUGGGCAUCAGGCAUCAAUCAGUACUCCCCAAAGGACAGAGGAGCCCUCGAGGCAGCCCAAGACAGGAAUGCUUGGAAGUGGUCCUGGUUGCCCUGGAGACUUAUCCAUUACUAUUGUUAGCUCUUAACAUGGGAGAGGCAUACCAGACAGAGCCCCUGUCCCACCCUUAGCAGGUGCUUACUCUCAGAUUCCUGACUUUGUCUCAAAGGAAGUUACUGAAACAAAAACUGGAUUUGGGCAGGUUUUCCCUUUUCACCAGGAGAGACUCUAGUGAUCCAGUGCAUUCUGUGAGGCCUGUGUGUCCACACAUUUCUCAAUUAUAAACUCCUUAGGGAAUCUCAUAUGUGACUUAUAAACCAUUUUAGUGACUGCAUCAGCUGAUGUUGGAGUGGAUGUAAAGGGAAGACAGGAAUCUGCAAUGGGAUGUAUAAGGGAAAGAGAAUCCGUAAGUAGGGACAAUAAUUCUACCAUGAUUCUUGCCGAUUAAUGACAGAGAGAGUCACAUCCCAAUUCAGAGGUUUGUGAUCUCUGGACUAAGGAAGGGACUACAGCAUGUCAAAACAAAAAUGUACUUUCUUCCUCUAUUUCUUCAUUUGUUCAACAGAUAUCUAAUAAGCAUCUACUCUAUGCUAGGCACUGGGCUAGAGGCUGGGGAUAGAGUGGUAAGCCAUGCUAGAUGUAGCUAUGCCCUGAUGGAGAGUAUAGCGACUGGCCCCUCUGAGAUUUGGGGACACAAACUCCGAGGAAGGACUGUAAUUGUUGGGUACUAAUGUCUCCUUUGGAGAAACACCAUUAGACAGAUUUUGGAUAGUCAUCUUUCUGUUACUUAGCCAAUGUGGAACAUUGGUUCUUUGAAUGACACUUUUGCUUGCAAUAUCUACAAGUACCCCUCUCUAUAUGUUCCCAAUUCUUAGAAAAUAGAAGACUUUUUGGCUUUGUUUUUAUUUCGGGGCAAGUUUUUUUAUGUAGAGAACCAUACGUUCUAUUGAUUUCUAGCUUAUUUACUUUCUAGAGCUCUCUGAAAAUAUCUAGCUAUGUAUUGGAUAUUUUCUAAGCUGUCAGUUUCAUAUUUCAAUUACUUUUUUCUCAUUAAAUCUCUGAAUUCAUAUUUGAGCCCUUUAAUAGAAAAAAAUAAAGACAAUGUUUCUUUUAUUUCAGCUGUUGAGUGUACUCCAGAAUGCUCUUUGAAAGUUUUCUGAAGUCUCUUUUCAUUUUCAUUUAGUUUACAAUUUUUAAUCUUUGUCUAACAUACUUUUAAAAGAAAGAUUUUUUUGAAAUUGCUUUUUGUACUGGAUUUUCAAGGUUUUUCUUGUCCACUUAAGGCGUUUGUUUUUCAUUUUGCACAACUGAGUUAUUUAAUUUUUUUCUUACCCUGCUGCUUAUAAUUUUUUUUCUCUAUUGGAUGGACUAACAAUUAACUGAAUCAUUUGGUACAGAUGUUUAAUCCAGAACAAUAAGUACCUAAUAAAAUCCUGAAUUGUUAACUAAUUUCUGCUCAACCACCCCUGAGGCUUAGGAAAAUCUUUCAUGAUAACUUUUAAUUUUGCUCCAGGCCAGGGUUUAAAUUCAGCUUUUUAGGGCUCCCCUCUGGUUUAGCAGUUUUACAAUGUGAUUACUCUUUUUCAGAGAAAACUUAGAAGAAACGGUUGUCUCAUGUUGAAGGUCAGGUAAAGCUGAGUAGAAAGAGAAAUGAAAGGAGGGUAGGUUUUAGGUGGUAUCAGAGUCUUUGAGAGAGACCAUUCUCAAGUUAAAAUUUUAUUUUGAAGCCUUAGCUUACCAAUGAAAGAAGCUGACUAUUGCCUCUUUGGGGCUUUGUCUCCUAAUUUUUCUGGGCCUCCUCUUAAAUAUCUUAAUUUAUUCAUUUUGACAUGUCAGAAGUUCUACGUGAUGGCCAUUGCUAUUCUAACAUUAAUUUUUGCAGUUUACCAAAAUAAGUACAAGAGUUAGGAUUAUAUGGCAAUUUUAUAUGGAAAGCAGGAGUUCUUCCAGUGGAGACUGCAGCUUUGACAUGGAAGAAACCAAGAAGAACAAGAGAUGCCACUGAGUAAAAGUGUGUGCCUGUGAAUGCUAUCUUGGGUUCCCUUUCUAAGCAAAGGUUAGAAAGGACCACAUAAUUAAUGACCUGACAAAAUCUUUCACCCCAGUGUACAAACUAAAAGUGUCCUAUCACAGACUGACAAGACAGGGCAUGCUCUCAUCAAAGUUUUUUGUAGAUCUGACCAAUUGCCUUUUCCCAAAUUGGUUUUCAGUUUACUGGACCUCCAAAUGUUAUCGCUGAGGACUAGCUUGGAUUGGAUUGGUAACUUAUGGAGUAUAUAUCUCCAUUCAUUUCCUCUGGAACACUCCCUUAUAUCAGAAAUAAGACAAUACAGAAAAAAUACAAUAAGAUUUUUUAAUAUAGACAAGCAAAAGUAAACAGAGAGUAGGAGGGGAAUAAACAGUUUAAUGGUAAAAAUAUUUAUGCCUCCAAAACCAAAGGUCUAAUGAACUUAUAAAAAGACCUGUGUUGAACUACCCAGUGGUAUACUUCCCACACAAAAUAUCAAAUGAUCUUAUACCAAGACCUAUGUCCAAUUACUCAAUGGUGUACCUCCCAAACAAAAUGCCUAAUGACCUUUUACAAGGGUCUAGGUGUAAUUGUUUACUAAAAUGUGCACCUGUUGACUAAAUUUUCUAAUUAUGUAAUACAAAGAACUAGGCAUAAUGAUCUUAUACAAAGACCUGUUUGCUUGUAAAUCACAGAAGCAAUGAGAACUUAAUGAAACCAGUCAGAUCUCAGGUUAUCAUUGAGAUUUUCUCACCAGGCAGCAGAUCUAAAGGACAAAUGCACUUGGGCACAAGGAGCCCAGUAAGUGUACCUGUUGGUCCCAUGUUCCCUGGAAUAUUGCCAAGGGAAGGUCUUUAAAACAAUCACAGUAGAGCUUCCAGAAUUGUCAAAGAAUGAUGAGUCCCCCAUUUAAGGUCUAAAAUAAAACAAAAAUGGUAAACUUAUUGCUCAUUAUAGUAAGGGCAAGCUUUGCUGCUCAAUCUCUCUGAAAAGCAGGCUGCUGAUCUCAUAUAGGGUUUCGAGGAUGCAUGAAGGUCAGGGACUGGUGUACUUUCCCAGACAUAAAUGGGCUAACAUCAGCUAUAGAAGCAUGACUAUUUGUUGAUUGGUUAGCACUCUGAGAUGCAGUUAAUGGCAUGAGUUCAUUCCUGAUUGGUUGACUCUCAGAAGUGAGGGCCUAUCACUGAUUGGUUGGCUUCUAAAAGCUUAACAGGUGAAUUGUCAUUGAUUAAGCCACUGGGUUUUCUACUAGUUCAGGUUAGCAUGACUACAGAACAAUCAAAUUUUCCUAAGAAUGUGGGAAACUUUAAAUAUUCUCAGUUGAUACCUACUAUUUGUUUUCAUUACAAUAUAGUGCAAGAUGGCAUCUAAUAUAGCACAAAACUAUAUAUAUUUAUUUCUAUAAAUAGAUCAAAUUUUGUGGUGUUUUGUGAAGAGGAAGAUAACUUUAAUAGGCAUUUCACUAUGACCAAAUUUGAGACUAUUAGGUUUGACCAGUAGGUUAAGGUAUUUUUAUAAAAGGCAAAAGCAUUAGUUAGAUGAGCUUAAUCAAGAAAUAAUUUAUUUUUGGAAUUAAAUUUAUCACAUUUAAUAGUAAUUGAGUGAAAAGGAAACAUAUUUAUCAAUAUGCUGAGAAAAAGAAUAAAGAGGCAUUUAAAGAAAGGGAUGAUCUAGACAGACAGGCUGGAAAGGGAAAUACAUCCGCUUUUUGGUGGUAAUAUUAGACAGAAUCCUAGCAUCUUAUAACUGGAUGCAACCUCCAAGUCCAGGAAUCUCCUCUCCAGUUUAUACCAUCCCUGGCAGAUGACUUCCAACCCCUGCUUGAAUGCUUUUGGUAAUGGGGAGCUUACUAUAUAUCACAAGGCAAUUCAUUAUGUUUUUUAAUUACUCUGAUAUCUUAAUAAUAUAAUAUCUGCCUCCUUGUAAUCCUGCUUAAUAGUGCUAGUUCUCUAUUUUUGAGCCAGAUAAGUCUUAUCCUCUCCAAUAUAGCAGCUCUUGGAAUAUUUGGAGCAAUUGUCAUGUAAAGCUACUGAAUCUAAUAUCUCUAUUGUUCUUCAAUUGUUUUGUAUGUGAUAGAGUUUCUGGACUUUUAUUUGCCCUCGUCACUCUAAUAAAUCUAAGUAGAUUUUUUUUGGUCAAGGUUUGUCUUAAAAUAUUAACAAUAACAAUAAUAGCUCUCAUUGACUGAUAGAGCCUGCUAUAUGCAAGGUACUACUGUAAGAACUCUAUGUGUAUUAACUCAUUUAAUCAGCAAAAUUUUCCCUGAGGAAGGUACUAUUUUACAGAUGAAGAAAGAAUUUAAGUAAAUUGAGAGACAGUGUGUGUGUAAAUAACUUUCCCAGGUUUUAGAACUACAAAUAGGAGAGUCAAGAUGCAAACCCAAGCAAAUCCAGGCAGUCCGAUUUAAACUCUUAGUUUUUCAUCUUGACAGAAUGCAAAGUAUAACAAAGCCACCUGCUCUUCUCUUUUUCUGCACAUUAUACUUCUACUAAUGAAGCAUUAAUUUGUUUUAGAAGUCCUGUUAUAAGCCCUCGUUGGCUUUUAUUGAACUUGUAACCACCAAAAAUCUUUAGGUCUGAGCAAAAAGAACAAAACUAGAGGCAUCAUACUACUUGACUGCAAAAUAAACUUCAAAGCUAUAAUAACAAAAACAGCAUGAUACUGGCAUAAAAGCAGAUAUAUAGACCAAUGGAACAGAAUAGAGGGCUUAGAAAUAAAUUCACUCACCUACAGCCAACUGAUUUUCAACAAAGUUGCCAAGAGCCCACAUUGGGGAAAAGACAGUCUCUUCAAUAAAUGGUGCUGGGAAAAUUUGGUAUCCACCUGCAGAAGAACAAGACUAGAUCCUGACCUCUCACCAUAUCAGGUCAUAUGCCACAUAACAUUUUGGCCAAUGAGGGACUGUAUAUAUGAUGGUAGUCCUAUAAAAUUAUAAUAAUGUAUUUUUACUGUACCUUUUAUGUUUAGAUAUG